GAGUCGUCUAUGUUUGUUCAAUAGGCCAGGUGGUGGGCGGUCCAAAUUGGGUUGGAUCUAUUGUUGUGGGGGCAUAGGUUGAGUAUGCAUUCCCAGUUUGACAGGAAGUGUGUGAUAGGGAUGGCUGCUAAGGUCGGAAUUGUUUUGGCCCAUUGGGAGAUAAGGAUAGAGAUGGUUUCAAAGAUAUAGCUUGUUGGGUUGUUUGGAUUCCUUAAAAGAUUCUCGAAUUUCACACUAGCCACAAGUUCCAUAAUAAGGCUGCUAUAGAAAGGUGCCAUAAUUUUUUCCCAAUUUUAGUGAAAGGGGGUGAGAAGAAA
rnacentral:lncRNA from 1 species